rnacentral:lncRNA from 1 species
CUUGCUGGACUAUACUACUAACUAUAAUCUACUAUAUACACUUGAUUUCACUUGCUUUUCUUCUUCUUUUCUUCUUCUUUUCUUCUUCUUUUUCAUUUCUUUCAGUCUUCACCUUUUUUUUAAAUUGUGGCUUUUUCCAAAUUAGGAUGGUUACAAUCUUGGUCGGACUCAGAGAUAACCAGUCUCCGACCCACUCCCUAAGCCUCAUAAAGGUUGGGAAGAAGGCGGACCUCAAGGGUUGCCUUACGUGUUUAGGUUGUACCUAAGCCCCAUGACAUUUGUAUUCUAGCAACCUCAUUUAGACUCCUCCCGCCUGUUUUACCUUCGUAUCAACCUAUGCAAUUGUGAUGGGGAUAGCUAUAAACACAUUCUACUGCAACCUAGAACAAGACUAUGGAAGUAAA